UCGGGGAUAAACCCGGGAAACUGGGUAUAAUACCCGAUAGUCCUCGGAUGCUGGAAUGCAUCGAGGUCUAAAGCUCCGGCGCCCAAGGAUGGGUCUGCGGCCUAUCAGGUAGUAGUGGGUGUAGCGUACCUACUAGCCUACGACGGGUACGGGUUGUGAGAGCAAGAGCCCGGAGAUGGAUUCUGAGACACGAAUCCAGGCCCUACGGGGUGCAGCAGGCGCGAAAACUUUACAAUGCUGGAAACAGCGAUAAGGGAACCUCGAGUGCCAGGUUACAAAUCUGGCUGUCGUGAUGCCUAAAAAGCAUUGCAUAGCAAGGGCCGGGCAAGACCGGUGCCAGCCGCCGCGGUAACACCGGCGGCUCGAGUGGUAACCGUUAUUAUUGGGUCUAAAGGGUCUGUAGCCGGCCGGAUAAGUCUCUUGGGAAAUCUGGCAGCUUAACUGUCAGGCUUUCAGGAGAUACUGUCUGGCUCGAGGCCGGGAGAGGUGAGAGGUACUUCAGGGGUAGGGGUGAAAUCUUGUAAUCCUUGAAGGACCACCAGUGGCGAAGGCGUCUCACCAGAACGGACCUGACGGCAAGGGACGAAAGCUAGGGGCACGAACCGGAUUAGAUACCCGGGUAGUCCUAGCCGUAAACGAUACUCGCUAGGUGUCGGCCACGGUGCGACCGUGGUCGGUGCCGUAGGGAAGCCGUGAAGCGAGCCACCUGGGAAGUACGGCCGCAAGGCUGAAACUUAAAGGAAUUGGCGGGGGAGCAC
rnacentral:rRNA from 1 species